UUAUAAAUCACUUAGAUUUUGAUUUCACAAAAAAGAAUGUUCCAAUGCAGCCACAUCAAUCAAGGAUUUGACAAGCCAUGCUAAAUAGAACAAUGUUUCCAUCGUUAAUAUCUCGUCCCGAAUGGAACCCAUCGUCGAUCACUUGAUUUCGAGCUCCGCCUCCGAUAUCAGCACCGCCGGCCGUUCUCUGUGCCUGAACAUCGGGACGCCGAGCUUGUAGGCCAUCGGCGCAGGUGCUUCCGCUUGCCAUCCGAGGAACGCGUAGCUUGGCACGACCGCCGGUGCCGGCGCCGGCGCCGCCGUCGGAGAGCUGGGGAGGAAGCCGGACACCAGCAGAAGGGCCACGAUGACGAGAGCCUUGGCCAUCCUUGCUGCGGGCACAGAGGGGCUUGGAGAAACGCACCAGGGGGAGAUGACCCCGGUUCUCAUUUAGAGGUCGCGGCCAUGGCCUAUUAUUACCGUGAGGCAGCGCCAGUUGUGUGGCUGAGGACUCGGUCUCUGUCUCUGUGGCUGUUUCUGCUGUUGCCGCUACCUGAGUGCUUGACAUGACUGAGUGCUUGACAUUGCCGUUAAGCCAAUACGUCCUUAACACUUGCGAACUCGUCUGUUAUUAUUAUUAUAUAGGAAGACAUUUAUACGUAUAGGAUGUACUUUCACUGUCGAAUGUUCUCUUCUAGGAGGAGUCUUCGCCGUUCCCCGCCUGCUUCGAGGGUUCGGAGGAGGAGGAGGAGGCGAGACGAGAGAAAGAGGGAGCGAGGGCGAAGGCGUUAGGGUUUCCAGUUACGGGGAUGUGGGCGAUGUCAGACGAGAAGCCACCAGCGGAGAUCUGCAAGGGCGUGAAUGGGUUCGACAAGGUCGUGCUCAGGGAGGACAAUCGAAGAUCGGCCGAGGUUAUGAAGGGUGAUUUUUUUAUUCGUUCUGGUGCCAAAAUCAUUUUGGGCCUCGACAUCAAAUUAAUGUUUCUAUGGAGUGACGGUAUUGGGUAAGCUUACAAAAGAAUAUAAUUCUUAUGGAUUUGAUGACCAGGUUAUUUUAUGCAUUUGGGAAAAUAUUAUCAUGGUUUUUGUCAGUGGUAUGAAAUCUGUGGGAGAAGAAAGCCAAAUCUGUGGCAGAAUUUGGAGACUGAAUAAACCAUUUGCUAUGUGGAGAUUACGGUUGUUGAAAGGAACAUCACUCUUGAAGUUUGGCAAGGAAAUAGAAAGGAACGCUGGAGCUAUCUGCUGUUUCUUCUGGUUGUCAUAGGGGGCACUGGAUCCUCACAAGUUGCCUCAAGGAGUAAAAUAAUACAUUCUUUAUGGUGAGGUUCUGAUGUGUAGCUUAUCAUCACACACACAUAUAUAUAUAUAUCCUUUAAUCACAAAGGGGCAUAACAUAAUUACUGACGCUGAUGGUAGGUUCACAAGGAUCUGGGUGAUUUUUGAUGUGCCUGGAGUGCUUUUGCAGACAGUGAUCAUUUUGUACAAAUGUGAUAUGACCUUACUCUUCUCGCAGAGAUUCAUGGUUAUUUGAUUAUGUUCAUUUGUUAUAGGGUGUGGCACCUGUGGUUGGAACUUGGAAACCUUACCAAUUUAAGCUGUAACUGUAAUAUGCCUGCAUGGAUUGAGUCACAUAGUUACCCUCAUGACAGCACAAUGGAAGGAAAGAUCAAUGCGUUCCAUCCCAGAUUGCUGGGACCUUAUUAAUUGUUCCUGUUGUUGUCUUAGCUACUGCUUUUUUCGUCUUCUCCUAUUGCCAUUUGUAAUAAUUAAGAUAUCAAAUCUUUUUGUAAACAUCGUUUGUAGCUAUUAUACAGUUUUCGCUUGACAUAAA